CAAGUCGAAGCGGUAGAGAGAAGCUUGCUUCUCUUGAGAGCGGCGGACGGGUGAGUAAUGCCUAGGAAUCUGCCUGGUAGUGGGGGAUAACGUUCGGAAACGGACGCUAAUACCGCAUACGUCCUACGGGAGAAAGCAGGGGACCUUCGGGCCUUGCGCUAUCAGAUGAGCCUAGGUCGGAUUAGCUAGUUGGUGAGGUAAUGGCUCACCAAGGCGACGAUCCGUAACUGGUCUGAGAGGAUGAUCAGUCACACUGGAACUGAGACACGGUCCAGACUCCUACGGGAGGCAGCAGUGGGGAAUAUUGGACAAUGGGCGAAAGCCUGAUCCAGCCAUGCCGCGUGUGUGAAGAAGGUCUUCGGAUUGUAAAGCACUUUAAGUUGGGAGGAAGGGCAGUUACCUAAUACGUGAUUGUUUUGACGUUACCGACAGAAUAAGCACCGGCUAACUCUGUGCCAGCAGCCGCGGUAAU
rnacentral:rRNA from 1 species